rnacentral:rRNA from 1 species
UAAUACGUAGGGGGCGAGCGUUGUCCGGAAUUAUUGGGCGUAAAGAGCGUGUAGGCGGUUUGGUAAGUCUGCCGUGAAAACCUGGGGCUCAACCCCGGGCGUGCGGUGGAAACUGCCAGGCUAGAGGAUGGUAGAGGCGAGUGGAAUUCCGAGUGUAGCGGUGAAAUGCGCAGAUAUUCGGAGGAACACCAGUAGCGAAGGCGGCUCGCUGGGCCAUACCUGACGCUGAGACGCGAAAGCGUGGGGAGCGAACAGGAUUAGAUACCCUGGUAGUCCACGCCGUAAACGAUGAACACUAGGUGUUGGGGGAGUCGAAUCCCUCGGUGCCGCAGCCAACGCGUUAAGUGUUCCGCCUGGGGAGUACGGCCGCAAGGCU